rnacentral:rRNA from 1 species
AUUGAACGCUAGCGGGAUGCCUUACACAUGCAAGUCGAACGGAGUGGCGAACGGGUGAGUAAUGUAUCGGAACGUGCCCAGUCGCGGGGGAUAACUACGCGAAAGGGUAGCUAAUACCGCAUACUAUUGGAGCGGCCGAUAUCGGAUUAGCUAGUUGGUGGGGUAGCGGCUGACCAAGGCAACGCUCCGUAGCUGGUUGGAGAGGAAGACCAGCCACACUGGGACUGAGACACGGCCCAGACUCCUACGGGAGGCAGCAGUGGGGAAUUUUGGACAAUGGGGGGAACCUUGAUGCAGCCAUCCCGCGUGUGUGAUGAAGGCCUUCGGGUUGUAAAGCACUUUUGGCAGGAAAGCGGUACCUGCAGAAUAAGCACCGGCUAACUACGUGCCAGCCGCCGCGGUAAUUC